rnacentral:rRNA from 1 species
AGGAUUUGACAUGGAGUCGUCGCAGCCAGAGAUGGUUGUUCCCGCAAGGGCGGCUCGCAC